GUAAAGUAGAAACCUUAGGGUUCUAUUUGAGCAUUGCAUAGGAUUGCUUGCUUUAAAUGCAUUAGUCGGGAUGACCUAAAGUAACGAAGCGUGAUAAGUUUCGCUUUGUGAAAGGGGAAGCUGGCUUCUAAUCUACCAUUCAGAU
rnacentral:misc_RNA from 1 species